AUUUCCUGAAUUACAUUUGGCUAGCGUGUUUACUACAAUCUGAGAAAUAAUUAGGAAACACCACAAAUGAACAAUUAUAUAUAGUACUUACCUGUAACACAGAGGUUUUCAUAAAAUUAUGCGUGAAUCAUAUUAAUUACACAGCAUCAAACUGUAUUCUUAUGCCACUCAAGAUAUUUAUAGUUAAGUUUGUCAGCCAUGAUAGCAAAAUAUAGCUCCAAGUGGAGAAACAGGUAGAGGCCUUGAGAUGAACUGAUCACUUGUCCAAAGAGUCAUACCAACUGUCUAUAGAUCAAAGGCAAUGAAAAAUUUGGGACCUGCAGUGCUCAGGCACUUCAAGAACAGGUCGUCAAAGUAACAAAUUACAGAAGACUGGUUGGAUAUGUGGGAGACAAAAAGACUGCUGCAUUUAGACAAGCUCAGAUCAGCUAAUUCUUACAUUUUUCCUUGUUUCCUCCUUCCAGCUACAUUCCUUUGAGUCAUUCCACCACCCUUUCAUCU